rnacentral:lncRNA from 1 species
GGAGCUUAGUUGUCCUCAGCGACCAGGAUGAUCUGAUUUUCCUGCUGGCCUUUAUCCUUCUCCUAUACCUAACAGAUUUAUCUCCACUCAAGACAUUUUAUUCAACGAAGAAAUUCUCCAAUCAGCUACAUAAGCAGUAUGAGCUUGGCAGCUGUAGUAUAGACUUUUACUGAAUUCCCGUUUUCAAAGUGGCACCCUUGCCUCCAUUAAUUUCCAAUAUCCCUGAGUCCAGAUAUAAUAUUCCUGAGUUCAGAGCCUUUCUGAAGCAACAUAUUCAAUAUGUGACCUCUAGUCUCAGGGCUGUUUGUUGGAGAAAAGGAUCUGUAGGACUAACUGUAAAAUAUAUGCACUUUCAACCAACCCUCUUGUUUAUCAGCCUUUACACACACCACCAGUUUUGAGGUAUUAUGUCUCUCAGACUCCUGAAACUUUCUAAGGCUCUAUAGAUCUGAUGGCUUUAUUUCUUGUUGCCACCCCUCUCACACACUCCACUGAAAUCUUUGCCUUCUCUAAUCCAUCCCCCCACCCCCCGCCCGUCUUCUGAAGUUAAUGUCUAAAUGCCUGUUUCUUUAUUGCUAUUUUAGUCAGGUUUCAGGAGAGAGUGAACAAAGAUAAAUGUUUGUAUUAUAUUAACAUAUUUAUCCAGAAGAAUUCAAACACGUUGUAUCUAUAUCCUGAAGAUAACUUUAUCAGAUACGUUUCAUUUAAGAAUUAGACAUGCAUAUAAUUUUGUAAUCUCUCCAGUGGCUCACUGAGCUAAAUGAAUAUAAAGAUGAUCUGUGACAUCUAUCAUCUCAUUCAUAUUUAGGGUUGAUUAAUUAACCUAGUGAGCUAUGUUGUUAUCCACUUUUUUUUUCAUAAUAGCAACAAGUGAGUGCAUUUAUGCUCUAAACAAAAAAUAUGCCCAGACAGAGGAGAGUCCUUCUUCAGCCAAGUAUUCAUAAAUAUACAGGGCUUUGCUUAAGCUUCCAAUGACCUCAAUAUCUCACAGGCAAAUUAUUUUUUUAUUGGCUAGUAUACUCUGAAUCUUGAUCUGUACUUGCAUUUAAGUUUUAAAGUAACAACUGAAAAAAAAACAAUCUAGGGGCUUACGUUUAAAUAUUAUAUCUAUACGUAUCAAUUUUCUUUACAAAAAUCUAUCCUGUGAGAUUUUACAUAAUUUUCAAACAGUUUAAGUCACUAGUCAAAAUUAUAACAGUCACAGGAAAGUAGAUCAGAUAGGAAAAACUGUUAAACUCACUUGAAUGUUUUCAACAAGAUUGACUAUUCUGUUUUUAGAAAAACUGUUUUGCACUUCUCUUCACUAUUUGACAUCAUCCUUUCUUUCAAAUCUUAUCUCUUAACUAUUGCUCCUCAAGAAUGCUACACUCCAGCGAAUGUUAUCAAUAUUUUUCUCUAUCUGUAUUUUACCAUCCUGAUUUCAUAUUUUCUUCCCAUUAUUUAUUAGGAUAUUCAUCUACCAACAACCUUCACGAAAUUAAAAUCUUUCCCUUCUCUAAGGUCCAAUUAAAUUGCCACUAAAUGGCCACAUAGCAUUCAUCCAUCCUGAAACGAUCCCAACUUAUCCUGAAAUUCCAGGAUACCAUUUUUAUACCAUUUUCAUAGCUCCUACCUUGUAUUACAUCUAUUUAUAUGCCUGCUUUAUAUUAUUAGUUUAAAUAACUAAAGCAGGUUGUUAAAAAAAACUUGGACUAUGCAGUCAGAUAAAUCCAGGUUUGAAUUAAAGCUCUGCCAUUCACUAUCUGCAUGACUCUGGGUAAAUCACUGAUUUCAUUAUGAGCACCAAAUUCAAGAUUUGUAAAAGUGAAAUAAUAAUAACGGUCUUGUAGGCUUCCUUUAAUGAUUAAAUGUGAUUGCAUAAUCUUAAUACAUACUACAACAUUAUGAAUAAUAAUAAAUG